rnacentral:rRNA from 1 species
UACGUAGGGGGCGAGCGUUGUCCGGAUUUAUUGGGCGUAAAGAGCGUGUAGGCGGUUCGGUAAGUCUGUCGUGAAAUCCUGAGGCUCAACCUCGGGCGUGCGAUGGAUACUGCCGGGCUAGAGGAUGGUAGAGGCGAGUGGAAUUCCUGGUGUAGCGGUGAAAUGCGCAGAUAUCAGGAAGAACACCUAUGGCGAAGGCAGCACUCUGGGACGGUACUGACGCUGAGACGCGAAAGCGUGGGGAGCGAACAGG